rnacentral:lncRNA from 1 species
AAAACUCCAUUCCCAAAUUUCUUCAUGAAAUUUCAUCCCUCCCUCUCAAAGAAACUCUCUCUACAAAUCUCUAUUGGAGAUGAAACUCAAGAACAUCUUAGAGGUUAGAUUUUCAUGUUUUCUUCAUCAAGUUAUCAUGGUCCUUCUAUGUAAUGAGGUAUGGUAAUGCUUCAUCUUUAUUUAACCAUUCAUCUAAGAAGUUCCUUCAAAGGUUUUCAAAGAAGAUUCUAUGAUCCAAAUCCUUAUCUUUCAAUCUAGUAAUGGGUUCAUUGUCAGAUAAAUUUCAAAAGAAUUCUAAUGAUUAAUUUAUUAUUUACUAAUGCUUUAAUGAUGAAUUUAAAUCCAAUUUCAUGAAGAACCCAUGAUCCUUAUACUUUCUCAAUUUAGCCUAUAAUGUGGGCAUUAUGAUCUUAAUGUUAGUUUGAUUAAUUGUGUUUCAAUUACUUUAUUAUUUCUGUUUCUAGUGUUUUCUAUUUGAAUUCAUGGUUAAUUAUUUGUAAUUUAUCAAUGAUGAUCAAAGUUUUGAAAAUUGGUAAGAUUUCCCUAUUUCCUCUACUUUGUAUAAAAUUGAUAGUUGCAUUGGCCUUGAAUGACAUUUUUUUGUAUGAUCCACUUAUGGUGGAGGUUUUACUUCAUUUUUCAUUCCCUAUAUGAUAUGAUCAUGUACUUGAAGGCAAAUUUAUGUAUUGUGAAUGUGUGGUUAUGAUUUUCACACAAUGUGAAGUUAUAUGUCUAGUUUCCAAUGCUAGUAUCAUGUUUUAGGUGUUGAUAAUGUCUACUAUGUUUGAAUGAAGGUGCUAGGGUUAUGUAUGGUAUAUAUGUCUAUCAUUGAUGAAAUUAUAUUUAUGGAUGACCCCCUAACUAUGUAACCCUACAUAAAUGUGCUGUCUAAAGCAUGGUUAGGAGUCUAAGAUUCAAAUGUUGAAGAUGUCUUGUCUCAUAUGCUAUAAUGUGGUGUGUGGUCUAUUCAUGAACGUGUAUUGUGAUAUUUAGAGGGUGUAUGACUCAAUAUUGUGUUGAUAGUCAUUAUGUGAUCAUGUUGAGAAAUGUACACACACUUACACUUCAUUCAUGUGUAUGAGUAGGAUAGAUUCAUAGUGUCUAAUGAAAGGAUAAUUCUCAUAUGCACUAUUAUGUAUUACUAUGCAUGUAAAGUAUAUGUUCAUGAAACUAUGAAAAUGUAUCUUAACUAGGUGAUUACUCUAUGUACAUGAAUAUAAAUGCAUGAUUAAGCUAUGAACAUGAAAUUAAGGUAUAUGUUAUGAUGUCAAGUAUAUGAUACUUAUGAAGUAUGUAUUUGUGUAGUGUAUAAAUGUUGUAUGUGAAAGGUUUCCGCAUAUAUGAACACAUACACACACAAAAAUGAAUGCAUACAUGAACCAUGUAUUAUAAUCUAGUAAAGUAGGGUACUUGGAAAGGUGUUCUCAAAUGUAAUCUAAAAUAGAUUAUGCUUGAAUAUGCUAUGUCCAUACGAACGGUUUUCUCACAUGAGUUAGGUCUAUGAAUUGACAAUUCUCAUCUAUAACCUUUAAGCUAUGCAUAUGAGAGGUUAAUCUCGUAAAGCUUAAUUUUAUGAAAUUAAUAUUAAUAAAGGGUUUUUAAAAAGUGAAUUUAGCUUAUCACCGAGUGAACUUGACAAUGCGAGGUGUUGACUCCCCUUGGAGGGAUAUUCACCCUAUAAUUUCUCAUGUGAUGAGGACUUUAAUGCUAUUGGGCAUGUAGAGGGUCCAAGACAUAUAUCCUAGUUCCUUAACACUGUUUUCCACAUAGGACCUAGAAAUUGGAUCCAUCUAAUAUGCUAGCAUUAUAUUUAUGUUCUACCUUGGCAAGUAGAGAACCUCCUUUCGAUGUGGGGUGUCAUGACACCAGAUUUCAUGUUUAGUUAACAUUGUAUGAUUGUCGGUUAAGGAUAGGGUUUCCCUAAAGUAAAAUGGGAAAUGGAAGUAAAUUAAUGAACCUUAACUAAGAUAAGUUAAGGAAAGUUGCUUAGUGUAGGUGAGGGUAUGAGACUUUACCUAUGCAUUGCACAAGCAGCUCUUAAUGGGAGUUUUAGGAAGGUGUGCUAUAUCUAUAUGUAUAUGCAUACGCCUUUUAUGCAUGAAAUUAUGGUAAUGACCUACUUGUAUGAUAAUAUGCAUAGUAUGACUCCUAUUGUGUCUAUAUGAUGAGGUCUUACUUUAGAUGCAUAAUGUUGGUCUUAUAGACUAUAUGAUGAGGUCUUAUGUUACAUGUAUGAUGCUGGUCUUACUUUCCAUAUGAUGAAGGUCCUACUUAUGCAUGUAGUUGACUAUAGUUGUCAUGAUGAUGAAUGGAGCAAAGUAUAAGGCUUGUGGUCUCUCUGUGUGUUUACUUGGUAUGUGUGAUAUUAUGGGGCUUUACAUGUACAUUGAUUGCACUAGUAGGCUUAGAUUGAGAUUAUGAAUAAGGUCUUAUGAUGUAUUAAUGAAAUAAAGUACAAGCAUGUAUUUGUUGACUAUUGCUUAUUAUCAUGUUAUUGGUAGCGUUGACUUGUAUGUUAUCUUGAAAUGUGUCUCCUAUGUGGUUUAUGAAGUAUGUUGGGUCAUAUGUGAAAUAUGUGUCUCAUGAUAUGCUAUAUUUUCAUGAAUAUCUAUGUUUUAAAUUAAUGAAGGUUAGAUGAAUGUUCACCUUGGUGACCUUAAGACCAUCUCCAAUCCAUCUCUAAUUUACUCUCCAUUUUCUAUAUUUGAAGAGUAAAAUAGAUAAUAGUUUUUCCAAUCACUCUCUAUUUAACUCUCUAUUCUUCUAUUAUAGAGAGGUGAAUACUAGUUCUCCAAAUUUAGAGAACUACUUUUUACCUCUCUAUUUUACUUUUUGAUUAUUAUUAUAUUAUUUCUAUUAUAUUACUAAUUUAAUCUUUAUCAUUUGUAAUUAUUUUCUAGUGCAAUAUAACAUAAAACAAGUUACUACUUCCGCCAAAUUAAUACUACUUCCGCCGAAUUAAUCAUUUUUAUUCUAUUUUUUAUAAGAAAAUCUCACUUUAAAUAUGCGACUUAAAUUUACUUUACUGUUAAUUAUAUUAUAUAAAAUUAUUAAUUAAAUCUCUAAUAUUUGUCACUAUUUUCUAAAUAACAUAACAUCUAAAACAUAUUAUUGUCUUUUUAUUUGUUUUUUAUUUUAGAUAUUUAAUUUAGAUAAUAAUUAUAUUUCAUAAUGAAAUAUGCACAAAAUUAACAUAAUAAUUCAAACAAGCUACUUUUUAUGUUAUGUGAUAAACUAUAAAAUUAUACUUUUUUUAAUUGUAUGAAAAUAUUUGAUUCAAUAGUUCAAAAUGGAAUAUGGGAAGUAAAUUAGUACACAAAAUAAUUGAAUACAAGAUGAUAUUGUUAAUUUACACAAUUUUAGCUACACACAAAAAAUGCUUAUUUUGAACUCUGUAAUACAUUAAUAGAACACUCAUAAGAGUAAAGUAAUAAUCUUGAAAGUUGAGUAUUUAUGUAAGAUUUAAAAUAAACUUUAUAAUCAUACAAAAUUUAUCAUACAAUUAUAUUUCAUUAAUGAUUUGCCUUUUGUUUGAAUCGUUUAUUAAUAUGUAUUAUAAAUAAUUUUUUAUCAUAAUUCAUGUUAUUUACAAUAAAAUAUAAUUUUGUAUUAAAAGAAGAAUUUGAAAAAAAUAAAAAAAUAAUUAGAUAAAGACUAUAGAGUGAUUAUUUUAAUAAAUAAGAAAUUAUUGAAAUUAUGAAAUAAUAAAUAAGAAUGAAAUAUAAAUUAUAAUAUAACAUUAAAAAGAGAGAGAAAAAUAUUAUUUUUAGAGAGUAAAAAUAGAGAAUUGGGUUUGAGUUGAUUGUCUGAAACAAUAGAAAACUCUGUAAAAUAGUGGCAGGGUUGGAGAUGCCCUAAGGUUGUGCUUGGGUGUGGACAGUGGAUUAAGACACUAUUCAUGCAUUUCACCAAGUGUUACUACAAGGUUACUUGGGGAUUUAAUGAAUUAAGGUAAAAGAAGAUAAUGUUAUAAAUAUGAUUGAUAUGCUUAAAUGCAAUAUAUGUGGAUUUUGUGUGUAAACAUGGAUAUUGUCUAUACCUAUAUGAAGUAUAUGAACUAUAUUGUGUAAUGUGCCAAUUUUUAUGAAGAUUCUUUUAAAAAAAUCAUGUUGCAUGAUUUCUAACUAAACGUCCUCCUUUUAAGUGGCAUAUUUUUGCAUGGUUGUCAUACUUUGUGCAUUCUUAUACUAAUAUCAUUCUUCUUCAUAUUUUUACAGUAAGUGUAGGUGAUUAAUUACUAGAGGAUUCCUCUUAAAGUGAAGGGCUUUAUACAUGUUUCCAAGCUCAAGAAAAGCAAUUAUGAUUCAAGGAUUUCCUAUGUCAAGUUAUUAUUCAAAGUAUAUGUAAUAGCUUAGUUAUUAUUUAUGUCGUUAAGAGUCGUGUCCCUAUUCUACUCUAUUGAAGUUGAGUCUACGAUGACAAAAGAUAGUCAGAGUCUAACUAUGUAUUAUGGCUAUUUUAUGUUUGUAUGAAGUGAUGAGUCUAGCAUAUAUUGUGUUAGAAAUGUUUUAAAUUUUUCGCUGGAUUUCCUAUAACAAUGCGAUGAAUCAUGUC